GUUGGGUAUGCAUUGUGUCUUCGACAUCAACAUACGUGAUGGCUUUGUAUUAUAAGGUUAGCUAUCACACAUUAUAGACAUAAUAGAUUCAUACCAUGCGCUUGCACAGGAGUUGAACAGGCUUCCUGUUUAGAUUAAGCCACUGCAGAGUCGGCGCGAGAUAUGGCUCGGAAAAAGUACCACAGUCCAGAGGUUGGUCACUGCUGACAACACCACUAUGGGAAGGAUCUUCCUGGACCACAUCGGUGGAACAUGCCUGUUCUCCUGCACCACUUGUGACACCAUCCUGACCAACCGCUCAGAGCUCAUCUCCACAAGCUUCACUGGCACAACGGGCCGAGCCUUCCACUUCACCAUGAUGAGCCCGGUGAUAGUCUACUACUCCUACUACAGUAGGGUCCUUGUUGAAUCUGAAGACUGGGCGAGUUAAGGCUGUGAAAACGAACAUGCGAUAGUGACAGUGUGGCUCCAGAGGUUGCCGUGGGGACAGUGUCCAAGUCAGAGUCCAAACUGUCAAGACUAAC